AUGACAACCUGUGGGGGCUGGAAGGAGAGCUCCAAAGUACCUCGCAGACCAGAGCAAGGACGGACGCCUGGGGACAUUAUGAUUGUCACAAGUGUGGUUGAUGAAAGGAGAUGGCUUGACUCUUCACUGCCUUCUUCUCUUUGGCAGCUUGGAGUAUCUGCCAGCAGAGGCAGCAUCUCCUACAGAAGGAAGGCUUUAGCUGUAUGCUGUUGGUCCUGUGGUUCAACAAUGACACACGUGGAAAAGGACAAGGAUGUGAUGCCGAGAGGCAGGGGCCAUUGGGGUCAUCUGGAAGGCUGCCCACCAUGCUUAUUGACAUCAUCUUGCACGUGUCUUAGCUGUCAGUGUCUGCUUUGUCUUGUGGACUCGUGACCCACAGAGUUACAUUCUGUGGGGGAGAAUCCCGCCAAGGUUUUCAGUGUGGCCCUCGGUCACCGGGUACCAGCACUCAGUGGAACCUGCCCGUGUCUUCCAGCUGCAGUGAGUCUGGGCCAGAUAAUAAAUCUUCCAGACGGACCCUGUUCUGUGUCCCUAAUUUCCCUCUGUAGUGCCCAGUGCGCUUCCAUGUCCUUACCAUUGAAUCUCUUAUAAAAAGAAGACCCGGGGUGGCCUGGCAUGUCCAGACAUGACUGCAUCCUAGUAAAGAUUAGGCUCAAGAAGGUACUUCUGACUGCUCCUCAGCAACCCCCCAGCACACAAAUAAGGAGCUCUGUCUGCAGGGAUCAGGGUGAUAGAUGGGGACAAGGCAGGAGUGGAUUUGUGCUCAGGUUGGGACUUAGGGCAUCCAUCUCCCUGUCACAGGAGAAGUGAAUCCUAACACAAGCCUGCUUCCAUGGAGGGGAAGAGGACAGACCAAAAGCAAAGGUAUAGAGGGUACACCCUCCCCUUGCAGAAGACUGAUAAGGAGUCUGUGAAUUCAGUUGUUCUGUAGCAUCAGGAACCCAACUCUGUAAGAGAAGGAAAGGGAGGGAGAAAGGGGAAUUUCUUCUUGAAUCUGGGGAGAAAUUCUCCAUUUGACACUUUUACAAAAACAAACUUUAUUUGCACAUAGUUUCUUGUAGAUUAGUUUUGCUGGAGAUUUAAAAAAAAAAAAAAGUGAGCUUCUAGACCAUCAAGGUUG
rnacentral:lncRNA from 1 species